AUGGAACAUCACUUCCCGAACGGGUUUAAACCCAUAAACAUCAAACAGUACGAUGGGACAACCGAUCCAGCUGUCUGGAUCGAAGAUUUCUUCCUCCACAUACACAUGGCUUAUGGGGACGACCUCCAUGCCAUUAAAUACCUGCCGCUCAAACUAAUGGGGCCGGCAAGGCAUUGGCUAAACAGCCCGCCUCCUCACUCCAUUGGGAGUUGGGAGGCUCUCAAAGAUGACUUUAGGGCAAACUUUCAAGGCACCUAUGUCCGACCACCAAACGGCGACGACCUCAGCGACAUCAUCCCAGCCUAG
rnacentral:rRNA from 1 species